rnacentral:rRNA from 1 species
UUGGAGGGCAAGUCUGGUGCCAGCAGCCGCGGUAAUUCCAGCUCCAGUAGCGUAUAUUAAAGUUGUUGCAGUUAAAAAGCUCGUAGUUGAAUUUCGGGGUUAGUAGGUUGGUCAUGCCUCUGGUAUGUACUGGUCUCACUGAUUCCUCCUUCCUGAUGAGCCGUAAUGCCAUUAAUUUGGUGUUGCGGGGAAUUUGGACUGUUACUUUGAAAAAAUUAGAGUGUUUAAAGCAAGCUAACGCUUGAAUACAUUAGCAUGGAAUAAUGAAAUAGGACGUUCGAUCCUAUUUUGUUGGUUUCUAGGAUUGACGUAAUGAUUAAUAGGGAUAGUUGGGGGCAUUAGUAUUCAAUUGUCAGAGGUGAAAUUCUUGGAUUUGUUGAAGACUAACUACUGCGAAAGCAUUUGCCAAGGAUGUUUUCAUUAAUCAAGAACGAAAGUUAGGGGAUCGAAGACGAUCGGAUACCGUCGUAGUCUUAACCAUAAACUAUGCCGACUAGGGAUCGGAUGAUGUUAAUUUUUUAAUGACUCAUUCGGCGCCUUACGGGAAAC